GACGAACGCUGGCGGCGUGCUUAACACAUGCAAGUCGAACGGAAAGGCCCUGCUUUUGUGGGGUGCUCGAGUGGCGAACGGGUGAGUAACACGUGAGUAACCUGCCCUUGACUUUGGGAUAACUUCAGGAAACUGGGGCUAAUACCGGAUAGGAGCUCCUGCUGCAUGGUGGGGGUUGGAAAGUUUCGGCGGUUGGGGAUGGACUCGCGGCUUAUCAGCUUGUUGGUGGGGUAGUGGCUUACCAAGGCUUUGACGGGUAGCCGGCCUGAGAGGGUGACCGGCAAGAGGGGGAAUGAGAGAAGGGCCAGACGCCGCCGGGAGGCAGGAGUGGGGAAUAGUGCACAAGGGGCGGAAGUCUGAUGCAGCAGCGCCGGGUGCGGGAGGAGGGAGGGCGGGUUGGAAACCGCGUUCGCCUGUGAAGAAGGGUGAGGGACGGUAAUGGGUAAAGAAGAACCGGCUAACUACGUG
rnacentral:rRNA from 1 species